rnacentral:rRNA from 1 species
GCUGGCGGCAGGCCUAACACAUGCAAGUCGAGCGGUAACAGAAAGUAGCUUGCUACUUUGCAUGACGAGCGGCGGAMGUGUGAGUAAUGCUUGGGAACAUGCCUUGAGGUGGGGGACAACAGUUGGAAACGACUGCUAAUACCGCAUAAUGUCUACGGACCAAAGGGGGCUUCGGCUCUCGCCUUUAGAUUGGCCCAAGUGGGAUUAGCUAGUUGGUGAGGUAAUGGCUCACCAAGGCAACGAUCCCUAGCUGGUUUGAGAGGAUGAUCAGCCACACUGGAANUGAGACACGGUCCAGACUCCUACGGGAGGCAGCAGUGGGGAAUAUUGCACAAUGGGCGCAAGCCUGAUGCAGCCAUGCCGCGUGUGUGAAGAAGGCCUUCGGGUUGUAAAGCACUUUCAGUCAGGAGGAAAGGUUAGUAGUUAAUACCUGCUAGCUGUGACGUUACUGACAGAAGAA